rnacentral:rRNA from 1 species
GUCUUAUUGAAAAUAAUUUUAAGUCAAAUCUGCUCAAUGAUAAAUUAAAUAGCUGCCGUAUUAAUGACUGUACAAAGGUAGCAUAAUAAUUAGUUUUUUAAUUAAAAACUAGAAUGAAAGAUUUAAUGAAAUAUAAACUGUCUCAAAUUUAAUAAAUAAAUUUUUUUUUUAAAUAAAAAAAUUUAAAUUUUAUUUAAAGACGAGAAGACCCUAUAGAAUUUUUAUUAUUUUUAUAUUAUAAAUAUAAAUAUAAUUUUAAUUGGGGAAAUUUUAAAAUUUAAAAAAUUUUUAAUUAAAUAAACAAUUAUGUUUGAAUAAAAAUAUAUUUUUUAAUAAAUAAAUUUAAAUUACCUUAGGGAUAACAGCAUAAUUUUUUUUUGAAGUUCAAAUUUAUAAAAAAGUUUAU